CCUACGGGAGGCAGCAGUAAGGAAUAUUGGACAAUGGACGCAAGUCUGAUCCAGCCAUGCCGCGUGAAGGAUUAAGGUCCUCUGGAUUGUAAACUUCUUUUAUAGGGGACGAAAAAAGGGCAUUCUUGCUCACUUGACGGUACUCUAUGAAUAAGCACCGGCUAACUCCGUGCCAGCAGCCGCGGUAAUACGGAGGGUGCAAGCGUUAUCCGGAUUCACUGGGUUUAAAGGGUGCGUAGGCGGGUAUGUAAGUCAGUGGUGAAAUCUCGAAGCUUAACUUCGAAACUGCCAUUGAUACUAUAUAUCUUGAAUAUUGUGGAGGUUUGCGGAAUAUGUCAUGUAGCGGUGAAAUGCUUAGAUAUGACAUAGAACACCUAUUGCGAAGGCAGCAGGCUACACAUAUAUUGACGCUGAGGCACGAAAGCGUGGGGAUCAAACAGGAUUAGAUACCCUGGUAGUCCACGCCCUAAACGAUGGAUACUCGACAUACGCGAUACACUGUGUGUGUGUGAGAGAAAGAAGAUUAAGUUAAUUACCUACCGUUACGGUUAAGGUAACGGUUACCGCCGAGGAAGAGAAACGAACGAAAGGAAAAGUUAAGGUUACGGACGNGAGGACGAGCCGAACGGACGGACCGAACCGAACGGGGAAGGGUAAGGGAAG
rnacentral:rRNA from 1 species